GCGGUCGUGGCGAAAUGGCAGACGCGCUAGAUUCAGGUUCUAGUGGAGCAAUCCAUGGAGGUUCAAGUCCUCUCGACCGCA
rnacentral:tRNA from 1 species